AAGGGUAUAGCUCAGUGGUAGAGUGUAGCUUAGCAUAUAUGAGGUCCUGGGUUCAAUCCCAGUACCUCCA
rnacentral:tRNA from 1 species